GUGUUAAUUGUGACGAAAAACGAAGAGUGCGUGUAUUAGCUUGCUUGUGAACUCUAAAACUCUGUUUAUUUCAUUUAAGACUAUAAUGCAUCAUCUUCGAGCUACGAUUUAACCAACUUAUGGUCCUGUUUAUCCCAGGCUACUUCGUGUUGUGGUAUUAGAAAGGAAUGGACAGGACACAAUGUGCUCGUUCAUGCAGCUUUGCUGAACUGAUACUGAAGCCUCUGACUGUAUUCAGGAUCCUCAGACAGAUCUGGAGGCUCUACACCCUUUACAGAGUUUUUGGUCCAGAACACUUUCGUGAUCUGAUAUCUAGUAGGUGACUCACUGUGAAUUCAGCAGGAAGAUCAGAGGAAGAGGAGGAGCCAUUCUGACUGACAUCACCAUAGCAACACCUACAAAUAAAU